GCCCUGUUCUGCCAGGCGCUGAAGAGACCCCAAGUGAGAUCAGACCCCACUGUUGUGCCAGGCUGCAGAAUGACAUCCAAGUUUCAGUCAAGCUCAUCCCAUCCUCCCAUGGGACAUAGGAGAGAGAUGGCUGCAAAGGAGUCAGUCCAGGGGCCGGUGACCUUCGAGGAGGUGGCUGUGUAUUUCACCAGGGGAGAGGGGGCUCUGC